CAGGAAGUGAAUGCUACGGAGAAGGCGGAAGUGUCUGUGAAGUUUAAUCCUUUGGUUUCGAUUAGUUCGCAGUCACGUAAACGCGGUGACGUCACCCGGCUUGUCCCCUGGUGGGAAGUAGUCUGUCCUGAGAGUUGCUUUAGGGGACAUCAUUGCCAUUAUGUUGCAGUUUAUAGUAAGUAUGGUUUAUCCUGUGUGUGGCCUCCAUAGCACCAGAGAGCAGCUCGCCCUGUGUGUUAGGAUAGAGUCACUCCUGAUACAGGACAUUAUUAUUAUCUUCUUGUCCUAUCUUGUUAGUGGAUGGUGCUGGCAGUAAGUUAUCUGUCUCUAUAAUUACCAGACACAACAAGUAAUACCAUGUUUAAUACAGGAGGGGCAACACCUCGCUCAGUACGACAUUUAUAAUAACACACAAACCUCCUUCCCAGGGUCAUUUUCUAAAUCAAAUAAUAGAAUUCCAAGGACAAAAUGUGGGACAGCAUUGCUAAUCAGGAAUAAUUCACCAAGUCCUGCUGUUAAGUAAUUCAUUUUAUUCAUAACAAUUCACUGUUUGUAUCCCUUGGUAUUAUGAUGUAAUCUAAUUAUGUUCUAAUACCUGCAAUGCAUCUUCAUCUGGCCAUGAUAAAAAAAACUAAAUGUAUGUACGCAGUGAUGUGCUUUUUUUUCAGUCCAUGCCAAUGUGCUUGGUUGUGUCUACAUGACUGUGUUUUUCUAUUCGUGGGUUUUUUUUUGUUUUUUUUUCUGUGUUCCUAAAUGUUUGUAUAAAUUUUUUUUGUUUUUACUGACUGGCUUCCCACACACACAGAUGUAUUAAUGAUCAAAUAUACAAUUUGUAUCCAUGCAGGCCGUAUAAAAUCGUAUGAAUCAUCUGGCAACAUAUAGAAUGUAUUUUUUUUUUUUAUUUUUUUUAACACAGGUUUUAUAUAUGUGUAUCUGUUUUUAAAUAUAUUUACUUGAAAUCCAAACUAAACACCAAAAGUUAAAAUAGUGGCUGCUGUAUUCUAUGAAUAUAUGUAAGCCCUGGCAUAAAAACACGUAAACUUACACGUAUAAUUGCAUACCUACACAUAGCUCUACACACAGACACAUAUAUAUUUGUACACGGACAAAGAAUGCUACCCAUUUACACACAGGUGGCAUUUUUUUAAAUUUAUAUUUGCAAAGAGAAAAGCAGUCCCAUAUGUAAUGCAUAUUUGUUGACAUACAGAACUGCACAACAUUUUAUCAAAAUAUAUGUAAAGCUUUUCAUUUAGGGAUUUAUUCCAUAAAUGCAAAAUUGUAGUGAACGGAAAACCAAAUUGCUGAAAUUCUCACUAAAAGCUGAAGUUAAAGAUUUGGAAAAAGUCUGCAAUUCAGCUGAAUUUACUGAUUGACUAUUUUUUUGGAAAUUAAUACCAUACAUUCUGGAGUCAUUUAUAAUCUACUCAACUGCUGUAAUUCUAAAAUAACUAGCACUUGACCAUUAAGACAAAAUGUUUGAGACACAUAUAGACAAGUCAAAAGUCAGAAACCACCCAGAUAUGUAUGUUACAGGCAAUAAUCUUACAGCUAUCAUGGUGGGUGUAGAAGUUCAUUUCACAACAUAUAUUUUUAAUAACUUUUUUUUUUUUCUUCUUCUUCUAGUUGGGAUUUGCCUUUGGGAAUGUGGUCGGCAUGUAUUUGGCCCAAAAUUAUGAGGUAAAGUCUCUUCCCAUUUGCCUUUUUACACACAAAGAUAGAGAACAGGCACAUACCAGCUAUAUAUUUCACUAUACAGGUGGUCCUCAUUUAACAACCUACUUGUUUUACGACGGCUCUCACUUACGACCACACUUAAGUGCGAGCCGUCGUGGGGAUUCCCUGCUCUAGUACAUAUGUCUAUAUUUGGGGAAACUUCCCCGAACAUAGACGAACGCACCAGAGCAUAGAAUCUCUUAACUCCUCACCGACCAAUUUGUUCUAUGACCUGGUCGUAGGAACGGAACCCGAUCGGUAAGUGAGGUGUCGGUACUGCUCAUUUGUAGGCACAAGGGUUUGGAUUUUUACAACAUUUGUAAUAUUCCAACAUUUGGAAAGAGUUUGUUUUUGUCUAUUGAUAGGACUAGCAAAAUUUCAGAUCUUUGUGGUCCAAAAUUAAGAUGAACCCCUUGGAGGGGCUUGGACUUAUUAAUGGCACUUUGAAAGUACACAAUCUAGCUUUAAAGGGACGCUCUAAGUACCCAAACAACCUUUGCUUCCUCACACUUGCUAGAAAAGAAUUGUCUUUAUCUAAUGCUCUGUUAAUGACCUACUAAGUUGUGUUGGGAUAAAGUUCAAUUAGCAGAGCAUUAGACUUCUAAAGAAAACAGGAUCUGAUUGAAAAUAAACUAUUUUGUUUCAUGGAGACUGUGUGAGUUACAACAAGGAGAGGUGUUAGGGUUUUAUAAAUCGAAACAAAGUGGAAUUCUAAUAUGGCAGAUAAUUAAGAUGUGAGACUGCAGGGGCAUGAUCUUUACCAGGGCUGCCAAAAAGGUAGAUCCUUUGAUGUUGUAGAACUACGACUCCCAUGAUGCAUUGCAUGCCUUUGGAAUGUCAAAGCAUCAUGAAAGCUGUAGUUUUAAAACAUGUAGGUGUACCUUUUGGGCAAUCAUGGUCUAAUAGAAUUGCUUAAUUUAACUAAAGUUUUAUUUUUGCCUAGUGUGUAUGUUCUUCUAUAAAGAUGUGGCACAUUUUCCUCUGAUCAGUUUUUUUGAAAGAUACAUGAAGAACGAAACCCAGUAUUUCUAGGUCCAGUUAUGGUUUGAAGCUUACUAUAGUCUUAAAAGGGGCUCAGUCACACAAACAAAUUUUAAAAUAUGAGAUUUUCAAAAAGAAUCUUUAGAAAAUGCUUAUAUUGACUGCAUUUCCCUGUCAUUAAAAUUCCAACACAAUCAAAAGAUAUCAUAGGACAAAGUAAUCUUGUGGCAGAGACUCAAGUUGACAAAAUUGGGAAAAACAGAGCUUGCGCCAUCAAUUUUUUCGUAGUUACCACAGCUCAUCAAAAGACUUAGUCUAUAGAGACUCCUACAGUCUUCCAAAGACAUCAAGAUUAUACUUUCAUGCAUAGGUGAGUGUACUGGACUAACAUGGUCUCCUGGCGUAUGAUGCUCUAGAAAUUGAAGAAAGAAGAUGGCUGGAGACAGGGUCAGGUGCAGAUUUUAAUAGGAAAGACUUUUUUAAAGCAAUAGUUUAGAAACAAAAAAAAAAAAAAAACACACACUGGUCUCUUGCACUCGCAAACGAUAUUAUAGGAAACCAAAAUGUUUUCCAUUUGUCCUUGUGGCAGUCUUUUACCCCUAUUCUGUUCUAUUUCGACGUAUAUCAUUUUGUCACAUUAGCUUGCAAUUUUAUAGUAAUGAGGGAGUCUCUCGUUGUAGAUUUGGUGGCCAAAUGUUAUAUUGAUAUAUAUUUUGUAAAGCCUAUCGUUGGGAGGUAUAAAUAUGUUAACCCAUAGACCCUGACUUUUUAUUUUGCUUAAAUACAUAUGUAUGUAUAUUAACUUGCUGUGUUUUAUGAUAUAUUUUAUUUGUUUGCUUAGGUUCCAGAUAUAUCCAAAAAAAUUGAGAACAUUAAAAAGGAUUUGGAAGCUAAGAAAAAGCCACCAAGUGAUUGACCUUAGUACAUAAUCUUGAUCGGUCUAAUUCAUGGAUUCCACGGUUUAUGGAAAAGCUAGGGGUGGUAAAUGAAUGCAUCUGGACAUCUGAGGUUUCCCUUGUACUGCUGCAUUAGACACUACUUUGCAGGGUGAAAUGUAUGGAAUUGUCUUACCAGUAUUCUCAUCUAAAGUUGUAUAUGAUCCAAUGAGGCCUUUGGUUAUGUAACUCAAUACAUAGAAUUUCAGAUUUGAUGGCUUGCAGUAUAUCAAGAGUGCUUGCAACAGUAGUAUGUGGUCUCUUGACAAUCAUUUUUAUAGUGGCUUAUAGCUUUAAUAGGAGUAAAUAAAAUCGAUAUUUGAGUAUAUGAGAAUGUGUUGUUUUUUUUGAGUUUCUGUUCUCCUGCUAAAAGUGCCAUCAGACAGUACCAGUAGUCUUGGCAGCAGAAAAGUUCAAUGUUUGUGGCUUUUUUUUUUUCUUUCUUUUUUUUUUUUUUUUAAUUUAGUGGCACCCUAACACCUUUUCACUGUGAUGAUUCAGAGGGUUGUCUAAACAUGUUAUCUUGAGUUUUCAGCCAAUAAAUCUGCUCCAAAACCAGAUCACAAUUGAUCAGUAAUGCAGAAGUAGAGAUUUCUACUAUAGUGAUGUCUGUAAAUAGAACUAAUGCGAUUCAAAAAUUAUUUAACACUGAGAUGGUGCCAGCCCCAAAUGCCUCUCCAAGAAUCUACUUUUAGAAGUAUAAAAAAAAUCUUAAAAAGUAUAAAAUUUUAACAAUGUAUACAGAUAAAUUGCGAUGAGAUUAAAAUGCAUUAUCGUGUAUAUUAUAGUGUCUAUGUAUCCACCAAAAAGCACACACUUGACUGGAAAUAUGCUUCAAAUAAUUUGUUGGGCUUUAUUUCUCCCCCCGCCCCUUCCCUUUCUUGCAAACCCUGUUAUACUAUUUGCUUGCUACAUAUAGACUGUUAGUCCUUUUUGAUUUGAAUGUAUUGUUUCAUUACUUUUAUUGAAAGGUUCAACAAAUCCCAUGUUGCCAUGGCGACUAGGAGUUUUGUCCUAACACCCGGGUGUUUGUCAGCCCCUCGAAACAGCCGGUUUAGGGAGAAUGGAGGCAGGUGGCAAGGGAGCUGUGAUCUUCUUUUUCUGUUCUCACACACCCUGCUGUGAUGUGGGUAGCCGGAAUAUGACAUCACACCAGCCCUGGCAUCCCUAAACGAUGUGUGACUGAGCAGAACAAGAACAGUUUGAUGAUUACUUCAACCACAUUGGACCUCAGAGAAGGAUCCUCCCAGCUCUCCCAAAAGUAGGGACGCUGGGUGAACAUAAAUUAGAAUAAAACUGUGACGCAGUGCCCUUCGCCACUUGUGCCUGAAGUGGACUACUUGCCAGCCUCUUGCCAUGUGACUAUGGCCCCUGGGAGACUUUGCCCUGUGUAAGCAUUAUGUGGGCUUAUUUGAGUUAUUUUUAAACACUUUUUCUGCCCCUUUGAAUACAUGAGAAGGUGUGCCCCUCCCCGUUUCCUGUCUUUUGUUCUCCAGCAGGGCGUUGUCACAGGGACACUGCCAGACCAGUUGGAACUUGUUGUUAAACUUUAACCCCAUGGCGAUUUGACUGUGUUUGUGGGAUCUGAGCGCUGUUCGGAUAUAGUGAACGCUCAGAUCCAAGUUAUCUGGGGAUAGGUUGAAUGUGGGGGUUCUGUUCAGUAUGAUAGGAAUUAUGUAUUUUUAUGUGUUUUUACUGUUGUAAAUGGAGAUAUUUUCUGUAUCCUGGAGAUAAUUAGCUUACCACACCCAAGCCAUGCUUGCAGUUGGUCAAAAAGGGAUUUCCAACUAACUUUUGAACCACUGGACCAAUUUGUAUGAUUUUGACAUAUGUUUGUAUUUUGAGUAUGCUGAUUCUGAAAAAAAUGUAAGUUGUAAGAAUGUGAUGUAUACUUUUAAAGUUAUGAAUAUUGUGUAUUUUUCUGACUGUGAUAAUUACGUCAGCCAUUGUGUUCAGUAAUUAUAUAACAGGCAGAGGGGAGGAUUUUGUGUGUAAUUGCUGGGAGUGUCUGAGUGUAUUGUACGUAUUGAUUGGUUGUUCUGUAAAAUGUGUAUAUAAGGCCAAUAAAGACACAGCUCAGUCUGUUCCUGCUUGACC